GAUGAAGAACGUAGCGAAAUGCGAUAAGUAAUGUGAAUUGCAGAAUUCAGUGAAUCAUCGAAUCUUUGAACGCACAUUGCGCCCAUUAGCAUUCUAGUGGGCAUGCCUGUUCGAGCGUCAUUUCAACCCUUAAGCCCUGUUGUUUAGCGUUGGGAGCCUACAGUACUGUAGCUCCCCAAAGUUAGUGGCGGAGUCGGUUUCACACUCUAGACGUAGUAAUUUUUUCUCGUCUGUAGUUGAGCCGGUCCCCUGCCGUAAAACACCCAAUUUAUCAAGGUUGACCUCGGAUCAGGUAGGAAUACCCGCUGAACUUAAGCAUAUCAAUAAGCGGAGGA
rnacentral:misc_RNA from 1 species